UACGUAGGGCGCGAGCGUUGUCCGGAAUUAUUGGGCGUAAAGAGCUCGUAGGCGGCCUGUCGCGUCGGUUGUGAAAGCCCGGGGCUCAACCCCGGGUCUGCAGUCGAUACGGGCAGGCUAGAGUUCGGUAGGGGAGAUCGGAAUUCCUAGUGUAGCGGUGAAAUGCGCAGAUAUCAGGAGGAACACCGGUGGCGAAGGCGGGUCUCUGGGCAGUAACUGACGCUGAGGAGCGAAAGCGUGGGGAGCGAACAGG
rnacentral:rRNA from 1 species